GCAGCAUCCAGUUUUGCUUGCCAGGAACAUCUCCAUCUACAGGUGUGAACUGGAGGAUGUCAGAAAUGUUUCAGCUGAAGGAAGAGGAGCAUCUGGCUGUGUAUAGAAGAAGGAAGAAUGUGUUAUUUGAGGUAUGAUAUCAAUAUCACAACACCUGGAGGGAAUAAAAGAAGAAACGCUUGAUAAGAGUGUGAUUUAAGAUUAAUAGCUGCCUGGUGAAGAUUCAUGGUAAAGCACAUCAUAGAGACAUUACUUGUCCACAGUGCAAAAUUGCUUUUUCAGUCACAACUGUUUGAAACAAAGCAGAAAGAGGUCUUACUCAAAGGAUGCUUAUCAGAUUUGCAUCUCUGCAUCUGCUUCACAUCUUAUGCUAAGUGGGAGAUUAUAGUGGUGCAUUCUUCAAGUGAUAAAGCUACUCUUCUUAUGAUUCUUUAGGUCAAAUCAGGGGAGAAAUAUUCAUAAAGGUGAUUAUAUACAUAUAUGAAAUAUUCAUGUAUGUGUGUAUAUGGCUGUAUUCCAUGCCAAACACAUUUUUUACUGACUUUCUGGGCUUAUGCUUCUAGACAGAAACACCAAAAUACCACAAAUGUCUGCUUCUGCUGUUGGUUGUGGCUCUUGGAGGCAGCUGCAACAGAUAUUUCUGCUGAAAAAUAUCAAACCUUAGUUUUGGAGGCAAAGGAAAAUGUCUUUAGCAAUCAAGAAGUGAUUACAUUCAGAUGAUUGUUUCUUCUAGCAAAUGACAGUGAUUAACACUAUGGCAAUGUUUGUCAAGAGUUUGGAAAUACAAACUUCUUUUGGUUCAUCUGUGUCUGUGCAGCACGAUUCUAAGCAGCUCAGUUUCUUCAAGACUCAGGAAGAGAAGCAACUAUAAUUGAUAUCUGCUAGUAUUGACACUCAGUCACUCCCACAGGGAGCUGGGCUGAUGCCAAAAAGUAAAAGCAGCUUAAAAUGUUGCCGACAAUCACAGCCUGCACUUGCUCCUCUUGCAUCUGGUCCUUGGAGAAACUGGAGAUGUUGACUACUCUGUCUGAAGCCUUAGACUCCUUUUGUGCUCUUUGGUGGUGACCUAUGAUGUGGGAUAAACAGGGAGAAGCAGUGCUGCUGCCACAUUUUCAUCUUGAUCAGACAAAAGGCAAUCCUGGAGUACUGUUGCUUAGAUUUCUGAAAAAGGUUUGGCUGAAUUUCCACAAGAGGACUUAGAGCACCAUAAAAAUUCUGAACCCAUUUGUCUCUUUCCUCUGGUGGCACUUUGAAAAAGCCUUUACAGAUCAAUUAUGGACUAAACAAGAAGCCGACAAAGGAUUUCACUGCCUUUAAAAUUGCUCAGUUAUCUCUGAAAUGCAGUAACAGAUGUUCUUUGAGCUGGCAUGUCAAGCUUUUAUCCUACUUAUUUCCCUGUGCUGAGGCUGUCUGGUCUCCUUGGAACAGGUUCUCAUUACAGUUAGACUCCAAUGUUCUUAACAAAGAUGUGAUCACAGUUUAGCAUGCACCAAACCACAUCAAUGCAUUUGAGGUUAAGGAAGAGCUUACGUGGUAACAGUUCAGCAAGCACUUAGAUCCACUGACAUCCAAAAAACUAAGCAAGUGCUUAAUCAGUGUUUUAAAUGAGAGUGUGUAAAAACAUCCCUUCUAGUCCUCAAAACCAAACUUCCCAUCACUCUAAUAUAUACUGAGUUUUAGAAUCUUAACCAAGUAUUUCUAAUAUGUCUUUAAAAAAACUUAUUUCUGAUUUCAUUUCUGCUCUGAGACAUAGAAGAACCAGAUGAAGUAAUGACUUCCAUAACCACCAACAAAAAAUAUUGAUGGUGCUAUCACCAUCUCUAAUUUGGUCAUUAGCACAGCAAAUUAUGUGCAAAUUGUACAUGUACAAGCAGUUCACAGACAGUUCUUCUAAUUCCAGCCACUCAAUGUGUUCUACAUAUGCCCUGUAUGGUGGAUGUGGGCGAAGUAGAUAAACAGUUGAGCGUCUGCAAACAUAGUGUUAGAAUCAGCAUCUUGCUAAAUAAUUGCUUUUUCAAGGGGUAUGAAUUAGCCUGUUUAUUCCAGCACAGAAGGAAAAGAACUGAAGAGUCCACUCUAUUUGGAUGGGAUCAUAAAUAUUAGUUUACAUAUAUGUUAAAUGCUCCGGGCAAGCACAAAAUUUUGAGUGGAAUUCUUUAUUUUUGUGAGACAUGAAAAUACUGUAAGGUUAGAUACCAGUAAAAGAAAGUUAUCUUUAAAA